UACAGGGGGAGCAAGCGUUGUUCGGAAUUACUGGGCGUAAAGGGCCAGUAGGCGGCCAACUAAGUCCGACGUGAAAUCCCCAGGCUUAACCUGGGAACUGCGUCGGAUACUGGAUGGCUUGAAUUCGGGAGAGGGAUGCAGAAUUCCAGGUGUAGCGGUGAAAUGCGUAGAUAUCUGGAGGAAUACCGGUGGCGAAGGCGGCAUCCUGGACCGACAUUGACGCUGAGGCGCGAAAGCGUGGGGAGCGAACGGG
rnacentral:rRNA from 1 species